rnacentral:misc_RNA from 1 species
UCAUCCAUGACUUUACUUUGUGUUUUUGGAUCCUUGCAGUGCUCCAAUAUCCUCUGUAUCACACGGCACCCAUAUGGAUGCAUGGAGAGAGUCACAACUUGAUCAAAGAAUGUUGAGACAAUAAAUUGGAUAUUUUCUUCAGGCACACACUCAAUACACUUUUGGAUGACAUGGUUCCCAUUUUGGUCACGUACACAUCGUGUGACAUGACCAUCAAGUUCUUCGACCAUUUUAAUCUUCUGGUCUAAGUCAACAACCUCAAUAGCCUUCUGGAUCACUCGACAACCAUACAUUUGCAGGCUAAGAGUCAAAACAUGACCAAAAAGGUUGCCAGCCAGUUCUCUUCUCUGCGAAGGAAGUCCAUGUUCAAAGAACUUCUGAAUUACAUAAUUGCCAAACACAUCAGUCAUUAAAGCAAGAGCUUGGGGCAUGAUUUCCUGAUAAACCAUGUUUUUCUCAUCAAUUGUGGCUGUCUCAAGUUUUUGUUGAAUGAACCGACUCCCGUACUGGUCCGCACUAAACUCAACAACAUGACCAGCAAUUUCUGAAAAUUCAAGACACUUAGUUUUAUUGCUCUUAAACUCCUCCAGAAGCGAUGAUGCGAAGCUUUCAUCCAUGUUAACUCCUCCAUCCAUGUGCCAUGGUCCCAUGAUGCCCCCUGCUAAGUUCCUCAUCCCAGAAGGAAAAUGCAUAUUCAGCUCAUUGUGUCUGAUUGGACUACCAGAUCCAACUGGGGAGUUUGGAAUAACAGGACUUGCCAAGGGACUUCCAGGAUAUGACAAGCCAACACCAAAGGCAGGAUUACCAUAAUAGCCACGAUGAUUAGAACCACCAGAUUUACCACCCAUUGGGACACCAUAAUGUGACUUCUGAGAUGAUAAAAGAGCUCCAACAUGAGCAUUCUGUAGUUCAAGUAAAUUCAUAUAAUU